rnacentral:rRNA from 1 species
GAUGAACGCUGGCGGCGUGCCUAAUACAUGCAAGUCGAGCGAACAGACGCGGAGCUUGCUCCUCUGACGUUAGCGGCGGACGGGUGAGUAACACGUGGAUAACCUCCCUAUAAGACUGGGAUAACUUCGGGAAACCGGUGCUAAUACCGGAUAAUAUAUUGAACCGCAUGGUUAAAUAAUGAAAGACGGUUUUGCUGUAAUUUAUAGAUGGUUCCGCGCCGCAUUAGCUAGUUGGUAAGGGAACGGCUUACCAAGGCGACGAUGCGUAGCCGACCUGUCAGGGUGAGCGGCCACCCAGGAACGUAGACAGGUGCCAGCCACAUACGGGCGGGAGGAGGAGGUAAGGUACCGAAGUGAGCGAAAGCCAGACGGAGCAAGGCAGGGUGCGUGAUGAAGGUCUUCGGAUUGGAAUACUCUGUGAUUAGGUAAGAAAAAAAGUAGAAGUAACUAUGCACUUAUGAAGGGAACCUAAGCAGAAAGCCCCGGUAACCUACUG